rnacentral:rRNA from 1 species
UACAGAGGUCUCAAGCGUUGCUCGGAAUCAUUGGGCGUAAAGCGCACGUAGGCGGCGUGAUAAGUUGGGUGUGAAAGCCCUGGGCUCAACCCAGGAAGUGCAUUCAAAACUGUCACGCUUGAAUCUCGGAGGGGGUCAGAGAAUUCCCGGUGUAGAGGUGAAAUUCGUAGAUAUCGGGAGGAAUACCAGUGGCGAAGGCGCUGACCUGGACAGAAGAUUGACGCUGAGGUGCGAAAGCGCGGGGAGCAAACAGG